rnacentral:tRNA from 1 species
GAGAGUAUAGCUCAGUGGCAGAGUGCAUGCUUAGAAUGCAGGAGGUCCUGAGUUCAAUCCCCAGUACCUACA